GUAGUUUCACAAAGCUGAAAAUUAAAGAAACUGAUGCAAGGGGAUCGCCAGGAAUGGAAUGUGCGUUUUAAUGUGACUCACAACGGGAAAACUUACUCGGCCCAGAUACAAGAAGAACUGGUAGCUUUUAAGAGCUGUUUCUUGGUUCUGUGGGUGGUGUCGCAUAGUGGUUUUUAGUUGGUGAAACGGUCGCAUAGUGGUUUUUAGUUGGUUCAUUUCGAUAACGAAAGAGACUCUAGCCUCCUCAAUAUUAGACGCUCCGAUCCCUCGAGUCGGAUUCAUCUUAGAGGGGCAAGCGGCAAUUAGCCGCACGAGACAGAGCAAUAACAGAUCUGUGAUGCCCUUAGAUGUGCGACGCCGCACACACGCUACAUGCAAAGAAUCAGCA
rnacentral:ncRNA from 1 species